UGAAAUACGUAACAGUGAAAGUUGGAGAAUCUUUUACUCUAGACACUGGUCUCACUGAUAUAAAGAAGUAUGGUCAACUGCUGUGGAGGUUUGGAGAGAAUGACACUCUUGUAUCUAAAACCAAUGGAACAGAUCCGCUCUUUUCUAUACCUGAGAGAUUCAAAGACAGAAUCCUUUAUCAUGAAAAUGGAUCUCUCACCAUCAAAAAUACUAGAAUUGAACACACUGGGUCUUAUCGCAUAGAAAUCAGCAGCAGCAGAAAAACCUUACUCAAGAGAUUCAGUGUUCUUGUCACUGCUUCUACAGUAGCAGACCUUGAACACCCAGGCUCUAUAGCAGCAAUGGUUUUUGGUAUUGUUCUGGUUAUAACUUUGGGUUGCAUCAUCUUUUGCAAAAUAUCUAAAAAGGGCAAGUAUCAUCUACAGAUAGUAUAGCAAAAGGAAAACACCGUUAUUUUACAACUGUGUCUGAUUAUUUUGUAAUUGCAGAAUGGAAUAGAAUCCCAAAAAGGGCUGUCCAACAAUGAGGAAAAAUACAGAAGACACUUGAUCUGAGAGGAUCCCAUCAAGAUCACUUUGCAGCUAUUAUAACAUAAUUUAUAUGUUCUAAUAAUCUUGCUCUUUCCAUAUACCUCAGAACAAAACAUUUGUUUGUCAGUUGUCCAAACUUUAAGUUUUAACUCAGGGGGUAUUCCAGAAAGGAAGUUAUGUGACAUACCUCAGAAAAGCUUCCUCAGAGUAAACAGAUAACCUCAACUUUCAGUUCCUUUUUAUUAUUAUUAUUAUUUUUUAUUUUUUUGGAACAUUACAUACUCUAAGUAGCCAUAAAAACUUAAACAUUCUCUAUUUUAAAAAAAACAAACAAACAAAAAAAAACCUUUUAAUCUUGUGCCAAGUUUGAUUCUCUGAAGCAUUUUGUUCCACUAAAAGGAGUUCCCUAAAAUCAUUCUCUGUUCUCAAAUGUGGGUACUUCUGCCGGCAUUUAUAGGAACUAUGAAAAUACUUCUCCAGUGUGAAAGCCUCUAUUACAUGCAAGUUUUUUCCUCAUUCCUCAUUUAUGCUUCAAUUCAUAGUUUUUAUUACUGUAGUUGAGCUUGGAAUUCAGAGUUUAAAAACAAAUAUGUAUAAGAAGAAUAGGAAAAUACCAGAACCAAAAACUGUUAAAGGAGUCAUCGGAUGCCACAUGCACUUUUACAAGAUGUUUGAACUGAAAUGUGUGUUUUAUUUUAUUUUUUAUUUUUUUAGAAAGUUGUACACUCUACAUACUGUGAACAUUA